rnacentral:rRNA from 1 species
AAUCGAAGCAGUGAACUUAAGCCCCAGUAAACGGCGGCCGUAACUAUAACGGUCCUAAGGUAGCGAAAUUCCUUGUCGGGUAAGUUCCGACCCGCACGAAAGGCGUAACGAUUUGGGCACUGUCUCAACAACAGACUCGGUGAAAUUGUAAUUCCGGUGAAGAUGCCGGAUACCUGCGACAGGACGGAAAGACCCCAUGGAGCUUUACUGUAGCUUGACAUUGGGUCUUGGUACUACAUGUACAGGAUAGGUGGGAGGCUUUGAAACCAGGACGCCAGUUUUGGCGGAGCCAUCCUUGGGAUACCACCCUUGUAGUACUGGGACUCUAACCAUAGGCCAUGAAUCUGGUCUUGGGACACUGUCAGGUGGGCAGUUUGACUGGGGCGGUCGCCUCCCAAAAGGUAACGGAGGCGCUCAAAGGUUCUCUCAGUACGGUCGGAAAUCGUACGUAGAGUGUAAAGGCAAAAGAGAGCUUGAUUGCAAGACAUACAGGUCGAGCAAGGAUGAAAAUCGGACUUAGUGAUCCGGUGGUUCUGCGUGGAAGGGCCAUCGCUCAACGGAUAAAAGCUACCCUGGGGAUAACAGGCUUAU